rnacentral:misc_RNA from 1 species
CCACACGCAACCACACCACAACCACCCCACCCCACCACCAACACACCAGAAUAAA